rnacentral:rRNA from 1 species
CAGCCGCCACGGUAAUACGAAGGGUGCAAGCGUUACUCGGAAUUACUGGGCGUAAAGCGUGCGUAGGUGGUGGUUUAAGUCCGUUGUGAAAGCCCUGGGCUCAACCUGGGAAUUGCAGUGGAUACUGGGUCACUAGAGUGUGGUAGAGGAUAGUGGAAUUUCCGGUGUAGCAGUGAAAUGCGUAGAGAUCGGAAGGAACAUCUGUGGCGAAGGCGACUAUCUGGGCCAACACUGACACUGAGGCACGAAAGCGUGGGGACCAAACAGGAUUAGAUACCCCCGUAGUCCCUGUCUCUUAUAC